AUCUUCGGAUAUGAGUAGAGCGGCGGACGGGUGAGUAACGCGUAGGAAUCUACCUAGUAGAAGGGGAUAGCCCGGGGAAACUCGGAUUAAUACCGUAUACCUCCUUUGGGAGAAAGAGGGCCUCUCUUUGAUGCUCUCGCUACUAGAUGAGCCUGCGUAAGAUUAGCUAGUUGGUGAGGUAAUGGCUCACCAAGGCGACGAUCUUUAGCUGGUCUGAGAGGACGAUCAGCCACAUUGGGACUGAGACACGGCCCAGACUCCUACGGGAGGCAGCAGUAGGGAAUAUUGGACAAUGAGCGCAAGCUUGAUCCAGCCAUACCGCGUGUGUGAAGAAGGCUUUCGGGUUGUAAAGCACUUUAAGCAGGGAGAAAAAGUUAUAGGCUAAUACCCUAUGACCGUGAUGUUACCUGCAGAAUAAGCACCGGCUAAUUCCGUGCCAGCAGCCGCGGUAAUACGGAAGGUGCAAGCGUUAAUCGGAAUUACUGGGCGUAAAGCGCGCGUAGGUGGUUUGUUAAGUUGGAUGUGAAAGCCCUGGGCUCAACCUAGGAACUGCAUCCAAAACUAACUCACUAGAGUACGAUAGAGGGAGGUAGAAUUCAUAGUGUAGCGGUGGAAUGCGUAGAUAUUAUGAAGAAUACCAGUGGCGAAGG
rnacentral:rRNA from 1 species